GUAGGUGAACCUGCGGAAGGAUCAUUACCUAGAGUUUGUGGACUUCGGUCUGCUACCUCUUACCCAUGUCUUUUGAGUACCUUCGUUUCCUCGGCGGGUCCGCCCGCCGGUUGGACAACAUUCAAACCCUUUGCAGUUGCAAUCAGCGUCUGAAAAAACUUAAUAGUUACAACUUUCAACAACGGAUCUCUUGGUUCUGGCAUCGAUGAAGAACGCAGCGAAAUGCGAUAAGUAGUGUGAAUUGCAGAAUUCAGUGAAUCAUCGAAUCUUCGAACGCACAUUGCGCCCCUUGGUAUUCCAUGGGGCAUGCCUGUUCGAGCGUCAUUUGUACCUUCAAGCUCUGCUUGGUGUUGGGUGUUUUGUCUCGCCUCCGCGCGCAGACUCGCCUUAAAACAAUUGGCGGCCGGCGUAUUGAUUUCGGAGCGCAGUACAUCUCGCGCUUUGCACUCAUAACGACGACGUCCAAAAGUACAUUUUUACACUCUUGACCUCGGAUCAGGUAGGGAUACC
rnacentral:rRNA from 1 species